UGAGGAGCCUCCUAGUCCCCACCUGAGGACGGCACAGAGGAGAACACGUGCAGAGAAGCAGGUUGAAUAUGGAAGCAGCGUUCUAACAGUCGGAUCUCAGUGGAACAGAGUCCAUCCACACGUAUUUGGAGGAGCUGAAGCAGAGGAUGGAGAACACAGACCAACAAGGAGGAGAAACAUGGCUCCUCUGCUCGUCUCUCCAACAUUCUGGAGUCCUGGAAUGAAAAACGUCGACGACCCCACAGCUAAACCAUCAGUCUGCUCCACC